GGCCAAGGCUGAUCCUGACAACCCUCGUGGGAGCGCGCUCAGUAGGCCUCUUCAAAGAGACCCAGUUCCCAGAGCAGGAAGUCCAGCCCUGCGCUGCUGGGAAACAAGACGAGGCAGACAGGAAGGAAGCCAAGGUGAUCACAAGCAGCUCAGUGUGGAUGAUUCUGGUUUCCUGUGGUGAAGCCUUGUGUGCAUGCAACUAGGGCUGGAUAAUAUGGACCAAAUAUCACAUCUCCAUAUGCCUUAGGUUUUCACGGUCAGGAGGGCUGGCAGCACACUCCUCCUCUGGCUGAGAAUCCCAAAAAUCCAGUUCAUUCAUCAAACCAGCAGUUUCUACGUACGCCAACACUGCUAAUGACUUUAGGUAACACUGCUGGCAACUACAGCCUUAAAACCACACCAUCAAUUCACCUACAGCUCUGAGACUGUUUAUAUCAUCUAUUGUGUGAAAAGAACUUGAAGUGACGCCUCAGUUUUCCUUCUUUAAAGUCAUGAAGAAAAUACGGAUUACUGCUUUAACCACCAAAAAC